GAAGUGAUGGACGCAAUUCAAAAUGUAACGGAGGCCAUUAAAAUUGGCCAAACUAAUUGUUGCGAACAAGAGAAACGAGUUCAGAAAGUGACGUUGAUGCUGAUGCUGCUGAAAGUGACGUUGUUGAUGCUGCUGAAAGUGAACAAGAGAAAUGGUGGGAAUCAAAAGAAACGAUGUUGAUGCUGCUGAAAGUGACGUUGAUUGAGUUGAUGGAGAUGUUGUUAACGGAGAAGCAAGCACAACAGUGAAAGGUGAGAGUUGUGUCGUUGGAAAAGUCUCAACGAUGAAGACGAUGAAUGCCAAUAACAUUGAUUGAAAAAGAGGACAAUAUCGUUAUUUCCUAAUUUAACAAGUGCUUAUUUUCAUAAGCUUAACUCAAAAAUGUCUUUUUCCUAGUUUAUGGGCCAAAAUAUGUCCAUUUUCGCAAAAGCCCCCUCGUUUUUGUUCCUUAUUGUGUGUAAGAAGUAAG
rnacentral:misc_RNA from 1 species